rnacentral:pre_miRNA from 1 species
GUGUGUGUGUGCAGCGCGUUCAGCACCAGGGACAGAUGUGUUUACCUGUGUGUGUGUGUGUGUUCAGCACCAGGGACAGGGGUGUUUACCU